rfam:Myotis brandtii contig269505, whole genome shotgun sequence.
GGCGGUUCUCAGGUGAUGCACCCAGAAUCGGGCUCCCUCCUCUCUGGUUCCAGGUGCGUCACCCAACUGCA